AACAGACUGAUUUUACCCAGAAGCUGUUUUUACACAUGAAAAGUUCAGCAGCUGCAGAGAAUGGAAAGCUGUCCUGCAGUCUCUCUGCUGCUGUAUUAGUUUAUCACCAGCAGGUGGCAGUCAUGAUCUCUGACAGAACAACCUUCUUUGAGCUGAAGGAGUUCAGAUGUUGCUGGUUGUGUGUUGCUGAUGCUGGAGCUGAUGUGUUGCUGACUCUCCUCCUCUGUCUCCUCUCACAGGGAGAAGAUGAUCUGCAGGAUCCUGCUGCUCAUCAUCCUCAACUCAUGUCUCUGUGCAGCAACAUUUGUAGUGAAUGUGACACAGAGCUCCUAUCAGGCAGAGGAGAACCACAGCAUCACUCUGGAGUGGACCUUCACCACCACACCUGAUCGACCCUGGGGAGAUCUGAACAUCUACUGCAGCUUGUUAACUCCUAGGAAAGAAUUAGUCCUGUAUCAGGUCCUUGAUGGUGUUGAGGUGUCAGAGUCUCAGGAUGAACAGUUUUCAGGACGAGUCCAGCUUGACAAAGACGUCCUCAGAGAAGGACGAAUCAGACUCCAUGUGUCCAGACUGAGAACUGAAGACUCUGGAGAGUAUGAGUGUCAGGUUUACACGGGUGAUCAUGAAGACUCUAAAAAAUGUCGACUCAACGUCUCUGCAGCUGCUGAUCAGCUUCAACCUCAGAGACCAACUUUGACUCCAGAACCAGAGAGAAGGACAAAAAUCAUCUGGAUCACAGCAGCAGCAGCUUUGGUGGUUUUAUGUAUAAUUGUCCUGGUUUUUAGAUUUAUUUGUAAAAGGAAGAAGAAGAAAAGGGUUCAAAUAUAAUAACAUUGUGUUUAAGAAACAUCAUCUGAACUCUUGAAGGACAUUGCGAGAAAAAUCUUAAACUUCUGUUUUAAAGAAUUUAAAAAUAUUUAAACUUUUGAGAUCUAUCAAUCCAAGAAAACAUGACUUUAAAUGCAUAAUAACAUGUUUUAUAUCUUGGUACUCAGUAGAUGUUUUAGACCCUUUCUACUUUAAUUCCAGUUCCUUUCUUGCUUUCUUCAUAUCAGCAGAGGUUGUUUGUAUCUCUGCUUAAUGCAAAAUAUCAGAUUAACUGAAUCUGAUGUUGUACCACCUGCAGCUGUAACUUAUUAUUGUGAAGAAGAAGCAGAAAAAAACAACAUUUCAACCACCAGCCAGUUGGAAAUCCUCCCUAACCUCCCUGGCCACCCCUGGGUGACUUUGUGACAUCAAACCAUGGAUGAUUCUUAACUUUCUGAAUCUUAACGACUGUAAACUAGAAGUGAUCUUCACCAGAGCUGAUCUCUCCAUCCUGACCUCAUUAGAAGUCUGAUGUCAGCAUUUUAUGGGUUAACAUGGAUGCUGCCUUUAGCUUUAAUUAAAAUCCUCAUUAACUUAGUGGUAAAAUCCUUAUUUUCAUCACAGACGUCUUUCUAGGGAUAAACCUCUUCUUUCUAGGCGUAGCGUGGAAUCAGUGAUUAAUGCUGUUAGAACCUCCUGGCUGCAUUAUUGUAACUUUUAACCAGAAUCACGUCACUCUGUCACGUCUACAAGUAUUAUAAAUACAGCAGAGUGAUUAAUAACAGGAUCAAAGAAACGAGAACACAUCACUGUUUCAGCCUCUCUCCACUGACUGACCAUUUAUUUCAGGAUGAAUUUUAAGUAGUUUUCUUUGUUUUUAAGCCUCUUAAUGGUCCUGGCCAGCAUGUUUGUCCA